AAGUCGUAACAAGGUAACCGUAGGUGAACCUGCGGUUGGAUCAUUAAAAAAUCAGGGCAGCCAACCAAAAAUUGGCGCCUCAACAUUUUGUGAACAGUUUAUUGUCUCUUGUGUGGGUGCAAGCCCGCACACAUGAACCUAGUAUGAAGUUUUGCCUUUAAUUGUAUUUUUAUAAUGAAAAAACAACUUUUGACAACGGAUCUCUAGGCUCUC
rnacentral:misc_RNA from 1 species